GUCAUUGUGCGGUUUGAGGUUUUUAGUGCGACCGGUGUAUGUUUUCCUGUGCAAGGUGUAACAGUAAGUAGUCGAUGUAAGUUUUUAAACUUGUUUUUAUUGUAUCAACCACUGACUUAUGCACACACACACACAGAUAUAUUAGAGAUCUCUGAACUCCCAUAGUAAAAGGCGACUAUGUGGUCAUUUGGCAGCCCACCUGAAAAAAAAAACGGCAAAAAACUGCGGCCCGGUGAAGAGUACUGGAUUCCCAAAUUCUGUAAACAAAAAGGAAAUGAGUUCUUUUGUGAGGUUGAUGAGGACUUCAUUAACGAUGAAUUUAAUCUACAUGGACUAAGACAACGAGUUUGGCACUUCCAAUGUGCUCUAGAUAUCAUUUUGGACUUGGAUUGUAUACGCGAUUCAAUGAUGGAUGAUUCAGACCUCUCAAACGAUUCUGAAGCAGAGAAUGUUGUGGAAGAAGCAGCGGAGUUGUUGUAUGGCUUAAUACAUGCCAGGUACAUUCUGACUGACAGAGGAAUCAGGAAAAUGAUAGACAAAUGGCAGGAUGGCGUGUUUGGCACCUGUCCACUUGUGAGCUGUGAGAGACAAUUUGUGCUUCCAAUAGGAAUUUCUGAGCACAUUGAAAAAGAAACAGUAAAAGUGUACUGUCCAAAAUGUGAAGAUGUGUAUCAUAUACGAUCCCGACGCCAUUGCUUCACAGAUGGUGCUUUUUUUGGACCAAACUUCCCUCAAAUGUUGUUUAUGGCUUACCCAGAAUACAGACCUGAACGUCCAUCCAAUCAAUUGAUCCCAAGGUUUAUUACUCUUCAUGGUAAAAGUAUGAAGUAGCUGCAGAUAUUGAAUUGAAAAAACAGAAAUAGCCGUCUUAAUAAGGAAAUCCCGAAUGGGCAGCAAAACGCAGGAAAGAUUUAAGAUCAAAAGAAAAGGAAGUUCUUAAGAGGUGGAGAAUGGAAAGGGCUAAAGAGGAAGCUUCAUAGAAGUGGAAAACUGAAAACAUUGAUCAGUUGCUCUAAGAUGGAGCAAGGAUGCAUCUCGCAUUCACCAUUUAGAAUUAUCAAGUCAGAAUUUAGUUUUCAACUCAUCUGAGCUGAAAGUUAAACUGAGAUUUUUUGAUUACCCCUUGUCUGGGGUUGGGAUAGGGUCAUUCGUGUUUCACAAACAUGUAGUUUUAGCUCUACUGGUCAGAGACCAGAAGUGUACGUUUAUGUGAUAGUAAGGUGACUGUCUUCCGUCCAUCUGUCUAGUUGUCUGUAAACAAUUUUAAAAAUGCUACUACGUGUACUCCCAGUUUUGGUUUGAUUUCAAUAUAUAUAACUUGACAUAGAAGUGGACUGUACAAAGGUACGUAAUUUAGUGCAUUUUUUUUUUGAUGAACGAUGUUGCCAUAGUUACUAAAAAUAGAAAUUUCUGUAAAAUUCCAUUAAAACGCUACUCCAACAAUUUGGGUCUUAUUUUAAAAUAACUUUACAUGCAAGUAGAUUACUCUAAGAUAUAUAAUUUAAUACAUUGGGUUUUUUUUAUAUCAAUGAAUGGUGUUGCCAUAGCUACUAAAAAUAGAAGUUUCUGUGAAAUU